rnacentral:rRNA from 1 species
GAUGAACGCUGGCGGCGUGCUUAACACAUGCAAGUCGAACGAGGUGUUUAUUCAAAGUUCUUCGGGAUAGAGAAUAAAUUACUUAGUGGCGGACGGGUGAGUAACGCGUGGGUAACCUGCCUCACACAGGGGGAUAACAGUUGGAAACGACUGCUAAUACCGCAUAAGACCACAGCACCGCAUGGUGCAGGGGUAAAAGAUUUAUCGGUGUGAGAUGGACCUGCGUCUGAUUAGAUAGUUGGUGGGGUAGAAGCCUACCAAGUCAACGAUCAGUAGCCGACCUGAGAGGGUGAUCGGCCACAUUGGGACUGAGACACGGCCCAAACUCCUACGGGAGGCAGCAGUGGGGAAUAUUGGACAAUGGGGGAAACCCUGAUCCAGCAACGCCGCGUGAGUGAAGAAGUAUUUCGGUAUGUAAAGCUCUAUCAGCAGGGAAGAAAAUGACGGUACCUGACUAAGAAGCCCCGGCUAACUACGUG